ACCACCCCUGUCUACGUGGUCUCGUCCACUGGCAGCCCGCGAAACGCCACUAUUUUCACGCGGUGGUAUGGCCGCGCGAUUUCCCAGGAGAACCAGGUAGCGUACGCAUGGUGGAACGGUGGACGAUCGAAGAAAGAGCGUUUGAAAUCGCAGAAGGAGCAGGCAAACAUCUACGUCCGUGGUGAAAAGCUCCGCGGCACGCAGAAAGUGUGCUACACUGAGGAAGAGGAGCCCAGAGAUGAAGAUUAUCUCUGUGAGCCAAGAGAGAAACCCACUCCAACUGGAUGAGCCAGAAAGGUGCCAGAGAUGGAUUCGGAAGAUGAGGAUAAAUUAGAGGAGCUCAAAGUUUACUUCUCCAAGACUGAGUGGACCAAUUUGCAGAAAUGUGAGAAAGUGCGAUUCAGAAGCAUCAAGAGGAACCAUGAAGUUAUGUUAGCCCUUGGGCUGAACUCCCCUACUCCAGCUUUCAUGAGGGGGCCCCGAUCUCGGAGAGCCAUGCUGGCAAGGGCUGCAGAGCCAAGCGACUCUGAAGAUGAGGAAUGGAACCCUCGUCUGGAGAGAAAGCCUGGUACACACACACAAAGUGAUCAUUAAGCUCAGAAGCAAAUACCUGACACUAGACACAGCACAGCAGACAUCUUCAUUAACAGCAAUUUCUCAGGGGUAUUUGAGUGGUUACAAACACGAAACUAUGAAACUACAGGUCAAAACAAAACAGCAAGAGGAAUAAAGGCUAAAGCAAGAGGCAGAAGUCUAAGACAGAACAGGUCGUAACAGAAAUCAAUCCGAAAUAAAAGCUGGAGAGUGUGAUCACGACACAACAAUCUGGCGACAAAAGACAGAAACAAAGAGGUUUAAAUACACAUAACUAACUAGAAUGAAAGGAAAAACCAGGAAACGGACUACAGUGUGCACAGAGGGUAACAUAACUACAGAACCUGACUCAAUAGGCAUAUUGUACAUUCACAAUGCCACAUGUGUACUACAUCACUACUAUUCUAUAGGCAUACUGUACAUUCACAAUGCCACAUGUGUACUCGAUCACUACUCUAUAGGCAUAUUGUACAUGUACAAUGCUACAAAUACACUGUACAUCUCCAGUGUCCCGGAGCUUCAGUUCCAAAAUCCGGAGUGCCAGUCAGACUGGUGCUUCAGGGAGCAGUGCAGCAGGGCAGGCCAGGACACAGGCAGCCUCGCUGGCUCAAACGCAGGCAGAACCUCCAGCGUCCUGCAGCACACAGGUGAAGU